AUACGUAGGGGGCGAGCGUUGUCCGGAAUGAUUGGGCGUAAAGGGCGCGUAGGCGGCUCGGUAAGUCUGGAGUGAAAGUCCUGUUUUUAAGAUGGGAAUUGCUUUGGAUACUGUCGGGCUUGAGUGCGGGAGAGGUAAGUGGAAUUCCCAGUGUAGCGGGUAACUGCGUAGAGAUUGGGAGGAACACCAGUGGCGAAGGCGACUUACUGGACUGUAACUGACGCUGAGGCGCGAAAGUGUGGGGAGCAAACAGGAUUAGAUACCCUGGUAGUCCACACUGUAAACGAUGAAUGCUAGGUGUAGGGGGUAUCGACCCCUUCUGUGCCGCAGUCAACACAAUAAGCAUUCCGCCUGGGGAGUACGGCCGCAAGGUUGAAACUCAAAGGAAUUGACGGGG
rnacentral:rRNA from 1 species